CCUACGGGUGGCAGCAGUGGGGAAUAUUGGUCAAUGGGGGGAACCCUGAUCCAGCCAUGCCGCGUGUGUGAAGAAGGCCCUCGGGUUGUAAAGCACUUUCAGUGAGGAAGAACGCCUGGUGGUUAAUACCCAUCAGGAAAGACAUCACUCACAGAAGAAGCACCGGCUAACUCCGUGCCAGCAGCCGCGGUAAUACGGAGGGUGCGAGCGUUAAUCGGAAUUACUGGGCGUAAAGCGCGCGUAGGUGGCUUGAUAAGCCGGUUGUGAAAGCCCCGGGCUCAACCUGGGAACGGCAUCCGGAACUGUCAAGCUAGAGUGCAGGAGAGGAAGGUAGAAUUCCCGGUGUAGCGGUGAAAUGCGUAGAGAUCGGGAGGAAUACCAGUGGCGAAGGCGGCCUUCUGGACUGACACUGACACUGAGGUGCGAAAGCGUGGGUAGCAAACAGGAUUAGAUACCCUUGUAGUC
rnacentral:rRNA from 1 species